CAGGGAUGUUCAAGACUUCUGAAGUAACCAAGGCAGGGAACAGUGUGCAGGACUAGGAUGAAAACAUAAUGAAAUCUCUGAGGUUUACAACAGAGAACUCCUGAAGUCAGCUUGCUCUCACACACUAGCAGCCAUAAAGUUGCACUGUCUUGUAUGCUUGUGCCUAGAAACUGAUCCUAAGACUGUAAUAAAGAAAAAGGGCUGUUUACAACCAUUGUUAUUCUCUUUGUUUUUGUCUUAUUCCUUGGAUUCCAUGGGAAAACAAGAGGAGAUUUGCAUGCCUCAGACAUUCCUGUGAGGACUGAAGAAAUCCUGUCCUAAUGAAUGGAAGCUGCUGGGAAUUACAACAAGUAAUGAAGCUGCUCUCAUGUCUGUCAAAGAGUCCCUCACAGGUGAAGCUGGUUUAUUAACUUUCCCACCCCCUGGAUAAGAAAUCAUGAGAGGCUGCCACCAUUCACAACAAAUAAGGCUGUCUCAUAGAGCGAAGAGGACACAUCCAUUGAAGGAACACACAGCUGAUGAAUUGGAGAAGGAAGGCUUGAGAAACUCAGGCAAUAUCAAUAUAGCAAUCAAAGCUUGGAAUGUUGUUUUGACAAUGAAAAUCAUUAAGAAAAAGCUCUUAUUUCCCCCAUGCUCUGUCUACGAUGUGAUCAGACAUGCAGAGAGCUCAAUUCAUCCUAUGACAGAUGAUGCUGACAGAAGUCACUUUAAACCAUACAAGUUUGGUCCUUGUGCAUUAGUUUAUACUAAUGAGGUCAACUUCAAACUAAAGUGUUCUUCCAGAGCGGCACCGAAUUAGAGAAUUCUGUAUUUCUGGAGACUUGUGCAGCAUAAUUAGGGACAUUAGAAUUAGUGGCAUGCUUUCCUUUGCUUUGACUUCGCUUCGGUUUAUUUAUUUAGUCAUUUUGGAAGGGUCUGAAAGUCAAAUUUAACUUUGUCAUCUGCUCACGCUGGGAGCAGUGCUGUUCUUCUGGAAACACCAUGGAAAUGCUGAUAAUGAGGUGCCAAAAUCAGCAAGCAAUGUUCACAGUUCAAGGGCUGGUUCAAAUCUAAAGGCAGUUUGUAUUUCUGCACUACAGGCACUUCUGCAAAGUCCUUCAGGGAGAGAGAAAUAGAUUUUCUCCUUAUUGGCUUGUUCUUUUACCACUAACAAGUCAGAAUGAAUGACAGGCCUUUUUUAGAAAGGAAAAAGAGCAAAUAGAGAAGCAGGUGGGUUUUGUUUGUUUGAUUUUGUACUUUUAAUCACACUUUUCAGGUGUAGAGCUGAAAGAACUCAUACAAAGACGGUGUUUGCUCAGGUAAUUGCACACUGUUCUCCUAAAUCAUGGUCACAAUGUCUGACGUAUAAGCAAGCCAUUUCACUGUACAUUAACAAUUGGGCAGGAAGACGUGUGUGGCCCACACAUAUCAGCUCCAGGCAGCCUCCCCAGCACAGAAUGUGCAUUUCCAAAAGCAUCUUUGAACUGUGAGCAUCUCGCACUUAAGUGCCCAACCUUAAUUUAUAUCUAUUUACAGAGGAGAGCCAAAUAACACUGUCUCACUGAAGUCAACGGUGGAUGUGGGCUAUUGGUAAAGCUGCUGACGUUGGUAGGCUCCAAAACUGAGCUGGGUCAACAAAUCCCCAAAUGCCCCAAAGAAACUGUUUGCAGUUAUCCAGGCAGUGAUGGGAACAGCUGAGACAUCCAGAAAAGGCCACCAGGAUACCGAAAGAAGGUCACUGCUGAACUUCUUCAGGCCCUUUUGGGGCCUCAAAGGAAAUGGUCUGACUUCUCCUCCCAACUUUCCUUCCCGUUCCUCAUCCCACCUCUAUUCUUAGCAGCUUUGUCUGAAGGCUGGGAACAGAGCAUGGUUUCUUAAUUCCUCACCUCCUGUUACCUCAUAUUUUUACUCAGGAGGCUCAGGGUGGUGGCAGAGGUU
rnacentral:lncRNA from 7 species